UACGUAGGGUGCAAGCGUUAAUCGGAAUUACUGGGCGUAAAGCGUGCGCAGGCGGUUGUGCAAGACCGAUGUGAAAUCCCCGGGCCUUAACCUGGGAAUGGCAUUGGUGACUGCACGGCUAGAGUGUGUCAGAGGGGGGUAGAAUUCCACGUGUAGCAGUGAAAUGCGUAGAGAUGUGGAGGAAUACCGAUGGCGAAGGCAG
rnacentral:rRNA from 1 species